rnacentral:sRNA from 1 species
AAUCCAGUGCAACAAGUGCUGAAGUAGGGGGAUAUAUAAGAUGUGGUGGAAAACAGAAAGGACCAAUAGAUGUUGCAGAAGGGGUGCAAGAGAAACCAGGGGAAGAGCACUACCACCUAAGGAAAUGAGAUGUGAGAUAUGGUGAAGAUAACAAAUUUUUUUAUAGAGGUUGUUGAGAUAUCUAGGUGGUUGGUUUGGUUUGAAGCUCAGGGGAAGGUCUGAAAUGGACAGCUUUGGGAGUUGCUGGCAUGAAUGAGAAUCAAAGUCCUAGAGAGGUAAGCCUUCCCAGAGAGUAUGUAAUUGUCAGUUUUUCAGGAAUCAAAACCUUUGCCCCAUCCCACCUCCAGCUCAAUGACCAUUGCCCCUUCCUCAAAGGGACGAUCAUGGCUUCUCCCCCUUGCACUGGGCCUGCCGAGAGGGCCGCUCUGCUGUGGUUGAGAUGUUGAUCAUGCGGGGGGCACGGAUCAAUGUAAUGAACCGUGGGGAUGACACCCCCCUGCAUCUGGCAGCCAGUCAUGGACACCGUGAUAUUGUACAGAAGCUAUUGCAGUACAAGGCAGACAUCA